rnacentral:rRNA from 1 species
CCCGCACAAGCGGUGGAGCAUGUGUUAAUUCGAAGCAACGCGAAGAACCUUUACCAGGUCUUGACAUCCCGAUGCUAUUUCUAGAGAUAGAAAGUUACUUCGGUACAUCGGUGACAGGUGGUGCAUGGUUGUCGUCAGCUCGUGUCGUGAGAUGUUGGGUUAAGUCCCGCAACGAGCGCAACCCCUAUUGUUAGUUGCCAUCAUUCAGUUGGGCACUCUAGCGAGACUGCCGGUAAUAAACCGGAGGAAGUGGGGAUGACGUCAAAUCAUCAUGCCCCUUAUGACCUGGGCUACACACGUGCUACAAUGGUUGGUACAACGAGUUGCGAGUCGGUGACGGCGAGCUAAUCUCUUAAAGCCAAUCUCAGUUCGGAUUGUAGGCCGCAACUCGCCUACAUGAAGUCGGAAUCGCUAGUAAUCGCGGAUCAGCACGCCGCGGUGAAUACGUUCCCAGGCCUU